AAAUAAUAUUAAGCUUUUUAUAAUUGGUUGAAUUAAUUGAUUAAAUGAUAUAUUUUUUUAGAUAACAACUUUCUAAAUAUUUGUGCUUUUAAGUAAAACUACUAAUAAUUAAAAACAGAGGGAGUAUUAGUUAACUCUCAUGAUAUAAAUUUCCGCACUUCUCCAAUAUUUGCAUUAUCUUAAAGCAAACACAGUCCCGAUCAAUCAAUACACAUACAGACAUUAGAGUGAGAUUGAUUGGUUUAGUUUAAGUUAAACCUGAGGAAGCUUGACAGUCAUUGAAGCAGCGACGAGAAAGUAACCGAGCAGUUUCGAAACGAGGGGAAAGAAACAAUCUUUCGCCGGAAACUCGCCGUUACGGAGGGACUCAAUCGCGCAGUGAAGAUCCAUUCCGAGAUAAUCCAUCGUUUUAUCCAUCACGAUCUCCAUCGUUAACACUCGAUUUUGUUCAUCGUACCUGAAAUCUCGUGUUAGGUUAAUCUGAGAAGAAGGUACAAUGGCAAAGAGAGAGAGAUCAGUAGCACUUUGAGGAAUUUAAAGAGGAGGAGGAGAAGAAAAAGAUUGAUGAAGAGCCUAAUGGGAGUUUUUCUUCCCUCGAAAGUGUUACAAAGAAGUGGUACCGCAAUCUUUUAUUGUUAACGUUUUGUUCGCUCUAGUUGUGUAUGUGUUGUCUACCCUUCUGUUCUUGUUGUUUUGGGCUUGUCAUUGAUUACUUCCUUCUUGUUCUUUUAUAGUGUGGUUAUUUGUCAGUAUCUGAUAUCGCGUGUUUGGUUGUGUUUUCUAAUGCGUGGUUUGAUGAUUUUCAAUGCAGUGUGGUGAUAAGUACGGUUUGAUGUUCUUCUCCUUCUGAGCUUUCUGUAAUAUUAAACUAUUCUUUUUUUUUUAGAAACUGAAUGAAGAAGCAAUAAACGGUCGAGAAACAGAUGCUUCAACCGCAAGCUCCAGAAGUAAUGGAGGAAGAAAUGUCUUUUAGUGAACCUAUGAUUCAGCCAAGCCGGGAAACAAAUGGUGACUUGAAAGGGAAACAAUCUGAGGGAGUGUCUGAGGAACAAAACCAUCCUAGCAAGUCUCCGAGGAGCAGUGACAAAACCAUCACGGAACAACAAGAAAGGCGGCGAAGGUUUCAAGAAACCCAAGAGUAGAAAGGCGGCCUGGAGCGUUUUGGAAGCCACCGAAAACUUAAACCAACAAGGGUUCAAGUUAGCUUAUUGCAGCAUCCUAUUUGCAAUUAGUUCAUAUCGGUUCAUAUGUGAUAGUAGAUCAUUCCUUCCGCUUGUCUGUUUCCGUUUGACAAAUUAUAGCCAAAAGUUUUGAACUCUCUACUUGGUUGUUUUACACCUGUGUUAGCUCCAGUCUCCAGAUAUACGAGGGAACAAUAUGUCUUUCCACCAAGG